UCGGGAAUUUUGGGCAAUGGGCGAAAGCCUGACCCAGCAACGCCGCGUGAAGGAUGAAGUAUUUCGGUAUGUAAACUUCGUAAGAAUGGGAAGAAUAAAUGACGGUACCAUUUGUAAGGUCCGGCUAACUACGUGCCAGCAGCCGCGGUAAUACGUAGGGACCAAGCGUUGUUCGGAUUUACUGGGCGUAAAGGGUGCGUAGGCGGCGCGUCAAGUCAGUUGUGAAAUCUUAAGGCUUAACCUUAAGCGGUCAACUGAUACUGUCGUGCUAGAGUGCAGAAGGGGCAAUCGGAAUUCUUGGUGUAGCGGUGAAAUGCGUAGAUAUCAAGAGGAACACCUGAGGUGAAGACGGGUUGCUGGGCUGACACUGACGCUGAGGCACGAAAGCUAGGGUAGCAAACGG
rnacentral:rRNA from 1 species